rnacentral:rRNA from 1 species
AUUGAACGCUGGCGGCAGGCCUAACACAUGCAAGUCGAACGGAAGAACGGAAAUUGCUUCUGCUUUCGGCGGCCGAGGGGUGGGUGGUUCCGAAGAAUAUCGGAAUUUGUUUUUUCUUGGGUCCGAACGCGGGGACUAUUACGCCAAACCUCCUUAGGACCUAAGGGGGAAAGCAUGGGACCUUAGGCCCUUGGGUGAUUCAAGGACCCGAUGUCGGAUUAGCUAGUUGGCGGGGUAAAGGCCCACCAAGGCGACGAUCCGUAGCUGGUCUGAGAGGAUGAUCAGCCACACUGGAACUGAGACACGGUCCAGACUCCUACGGGAGGCAGCAGUGGGGAAUAUUGGACAAUGGGCGCAAGCCUGAUCCAGCCAUACCGCGUGUGUGAAGAAGGCCUUCGGGUUGUAAAGCCCUUUUAUUGGGGAAGAAAAGCAGUAGGUUAAUACCUCGCUGUUCUGACGGUACCCAAAGAAUAAGCACCGGCUAACUUCGUG